UACGGGGGGGGGCAAGCGUUGUUCGGAAUUACUGGGCGUAAAGGGCUCGUAGGCUGCCAACUAAGUCAGACGUGAAAUCCCUCGGCUUAACCGGGGAACUGCGUCUGAUACUGGAUGGCUUGAGGUUGGGAGAGGGAUGCGGAAUUCCAGGUGUAGCGGUGAAAUGCGUAGAAUAUCUGGAGGAACACCGGUGGCGAAGGCGGCAUCCUGGACCGAUACUGACGCUGAGGAGCGAAAGCCAGGGGAGCAAAACGGGG
rnacentral:rRNA from 1 species